rnacentral:rRNA from 1 species
CCUACGUGAGGCAGCAGUGGGGAAUAUUGGGCACUGGGCGCAAGCCUGACCCAGCAACGCCGCGUGAAGGAAGAAGGCUUUCGGGUUGUAAACUUCUUUUCUCAGGGACGAAGAAAGUGACGGUACCUGAGGAAUAAGCCACGGCUAACUACGUGCCAGCAGCCGCGGUCAUACGUAGGUGGCAAGCGUUAUCCGGAUUUACUGGGUGUAAAGGGCGUGUAGGCGGGAAAGCAAGUCAGAUGUGAAAACCAUGGGCUCAACCUGUGGCCUGCAUUUGAAACUGUUUUUCUUGAGUACUGGAGAGGCAGACGGAAUUCCUCGUGGAGCGGUGAAAUGCGUAGAUAUGAGGAGGAACACCAGUGGCGAAGGCGGUCUGCUGGACAGCAACUGACGCUGAGGCGCGAAAGCGUGGGGAGCAAACAGGAUUAGAUACCCUUGUAGUC